rnacentral:ncRNA from 1 species
CCAGCUGAAUUUAAGCAUAUAACUAAGCGGAGGAAAAGAAACUAACGAGGAUUUCUCUAGUAACGGCGAGUGAACGGGGAAAACCCCAGCGCUGAUUCCAUUGGCUGUCGCUUGGAAUUUGAGCGUAUAGGUGCGGUUGUCCGUUCGUUUCGCGCACCCAAAGUCUCCUUGAGUGGGGCUAUAGCCCAAAGAAGGUGCUAGACCUGUACGGGUAGCGAGACGAUCGAUUGGUUGCUCCUUGUAGUCGGGUUGCCUGGGAUCGCAGCCUAAAGUUGGUGGUAGGCCUCAUCUAAGGCUAAAUAUGGUCACGAAACCGAUAGCAGACAAGUACCUUGAGGGAAAGUUGCAAAGAACUUUGAAGAGAGAGUUCAAGUGGGCGUGAAACCGCUGAGAUUGAAACGGAUAGAGUUGACUUAACUCGGCUGCAUUCAUCCGGCCGGUCUAGUGGUCCAACGGUUUUGACUUCCUCGAAGAGGGCGAAGCCGCCGGCAACUGGUGGGCAUUUGAUCGGUGUAUUUGCGGCUGAUAUGCGCUGAGAGGUUUUGCGAUCGCGUGUUGACAAACGUGCAGUGGACCAUUCCUUCCGGGUGUGGAAAUCUUCGCGCUUUGAGACAUGUCGGUUGUAAGGUUUUGAAGGUGUCGUCUCCGCUAUGGUGCGUCAGCUUUUUCGUGCUGUUGUGGCUGCCGGAUGGUCGCAUGCGACUGUCUGCAGUCAUCGAUGGUGCGACAGGAGUGUGGACGCGGCGAGGCGUUGAUUCCCAUGUGAACUUCGACCACCUAUCCGAUCUGUCUUGAAACACGGACCAAGGAGUCCAGCAUAUGCGCGAGUCAUUGGGUGAUAAACCUAAAGGCGUAAUGAAAGUAAAAGUCGCCCCGAUGCGACCGAUAUGGGAUCCAUGCGAUUUUUGAAGCUGCACGGCGCAUCAUAGCCCCGUCCACGUUGCCUGCAAUAGGGUGGAGGUAGAGCGUAUAUGCUGGGACCCGAAAGAUGGUGAACUAUGCCUGAGCAGAAUGAAGCCCGAGGAAACUCUGGUGGAAGUCCGAAGCGGUUCUGAUGUGCAAAUCGAUCGUCUGACUUGGGUAUAGGGGCGAAAGACUAAUAGGACCAUCUAGUAGCUGGUUCCCUCUGAAGUUACCCUCAGGAUAGCUGGAGUUCGUGUGGUGCAGUUAUAUUCGGUAAAGCGAAUGAUUAGAGGAAUUGGGGACGAAACGACCUCAACCUAUUCUUACACUUUCAGUGGGUAUGAAGUCCCGCUUGCUUGACGUUGCUGAAGCGUGGACACUGAAUGUGAGCUCCAAGUGGGCCAUUUUUGGUAACCAGAACUGGCGCUGUGGGAUGAACCAAACGUCGGGUUAAAGUGCCAAACUUCCCGCUCAUGAGACCGCAUGAAAGGCGUUGGUUGAUAUAGACAGCAGGACGGUGGCCAUGGAAGUCGGAAUCCGCUAAGGAGUGUAUAACAACUCAAAUGCCGAAUCAACUAGCCCUGAAAAUGGAUGGCGCUUGAGCGGGAGACUUAUACCCGACCAAAGCCGAGUUGAAUUCGAUGAAAUAUGCUCGAGCGUAUACGACUCUAAAAAACUGGUGGAAACAGUAGAAC